AUUGAACGCUAGCGGGAUGCCUUACACAUGCAAGUCGAACGGAGUGGCGAACGGGUGAGUAAUGUAUCGGAACGUGACCAGUAGCGGGGGAUCACUACGCGAAAGCGUAGCUAAUACCGCCUACUAUUGGAGCGGCCGAUAUCGGAUUAGCUAGUUGGUGGGGUAACGGCGCACCAAGGCGACGACCCGUCGCUGGUUUGAGAGGACGACCAGCACGACUGGGACUGAGACACGGCCCAGACUCCUCCGGGAGGCAGCAGUGGGGAAUGUUGGACAAUGGGGGAAACCCUGAUACCGCCAUCCCGCGUGUGCGAUGAAGGCCUUCGGGUUGUAAAGCACUUUUGGCAGGAAAGCGGUACCUGCAGAAUAAGCACCGGCUAAAUACGUGCCAGCAGCCGCGGUAAUUC
rnacentral:rRNA from 1 species